GGGAAACAGGUUAAUAUUCCUGUACUCGGUGUUACUGCGAAGGGGGGACGGAGAAGGCUAUGUUGGCCGGGCGACGGUUGUCCCGGUUUAAGCAUGUAGGCGGAUGUUCCAGGUAAAUCCGGAACGUCACUAACGCUGAGGUGUGAUGACGAGGCACUACGGUGCUGAAGUGACAAAUGCCCUGCUUCCAGGAAAAGCCUCUAAGCAUCAGGUAACAUCAAAUCGUACCCCAAACCGACACAGGUGGUCAGGUAGAG
rnacentral:rRNA from 1 species